rnacentral:rRNA from 1 species
GUGCAGCAGUCGCGAAAACUCCGCAAUACGCGAAAGCGUGACGGGGCUACCCCGAGUGUCGUCCGCUGAGGACGACUUUUCCACGCUGUAAGGAGGCGUGGGAAUAAGGAGAGGGCAAGUCUGGUGUCAGCCGCCGCGGUAAUACCAGCUCUCCGAGUGGUAGGGACGAUUAUUGGGCUUAAAGUGUCCGUAGCCGGCUCAGCAAGUCUCCCGUUAAAUCCAACGAUUCAAUCGUUGGACUGCGGGAGAUACUGCGAGGCUAGGGGGCGGGGGAGGCCGUCGGUACUCCUAGGGUAGGGGUGAAAUCCUAUAAUCCUAGGAGGACCACCAGUGGCGAAGGCGGCCGGCUAAAACGCGCCCGACGGUGAGGGACGAAAGCUGGGGGAGCGAACCGGAUUAGAUACCCCGGUAGUCC